AACGAACGCUGGCGGCAGGCUUAACACAUGCAAGUCGAACGCCCCGCAAGGGGAGUGGCAGACGGGUGAGUAACGCGUGGGAAUCUACCCAGAACUUCGGAACAACUGAGGGAAACUUCAGCUAAUACCGGAUACGCCCUACGGGGGAAAGAUUUAUCGGUUUUGGAUGAGCCCGCGUUGGAUUAGCUAGUUGGUGGGGUAAUGGCCUACCAAGGCGACGAUCCAUAGCUGGUCUGAGAGGAAGAUCAGCCACACUGGGACUGAGACACGGCCCAGACUCCUACGGGAGGCAGCAGUGGGGAAUAUUGGACAAUGGGCGAAAGCCUGAUCCAGCCAUGCCGCGUGAGUGAUGAAGGCCUUAGGGUUGUAAAGCUCUUUCAGUGGGGAAGAUAAUGACGGUACCCACAGAAGAAGCCCGGCUAACUUCGUGCCAGCAGCCGCGGUAACAC
rnacentral:rRNA from 1 species